rnacentral:lncRNA from 1 species
GCCGGCUGGCUGGGCAUGGCUGCGCGCGCGCCGCAGUGUCCCGCCUCGGACGCGGCCUACGGGCGCAUGGCGGCCGCGCUAGAGAAACUCACAAAGGAAGCAGACAGCUUGGCAGAAUACCAGAAACUAAUGAAAAAGCAUGAUCUAACUUUGACCCAGUUAAACAAGAGUUUUGACCAGGUUCAAUCAAGACUGGAACGUAUAGCAGCUGUGAAGCCCAGUAAUGAAUUUUUGAGUCAGUAACAGAGAAUGACUUGUUUUUCAUAUGUACUGCACUCCUGUGUAUUACACAAAGCUGUUGAAGAACACAAAUGUACAAGAAACAUCAGGACAGUUCAUGUCUGAGUAGAAACUGGGCAAAGUAACUAUUUACAAAAGCAGCAUGUAUAUUACAUUCAGUGGGAUAAUGUUCAGAAUUUAAUUUUUCAUUGUGUUCAUGCCCAUGAAAUCAUGCCCUUACCAAGACUGAAAGCUCACUUUAAUAAUUGUUGGCAUUGAAUACUAGAUACUGAAGUAGACAGAAACAAAAAACUUAACAUUUCAAAUACCCUGAUAUUCCAUAAGAGGGCAGUAAUACCCAAUGUUACAAUACAUUACAAAUCGUUCUAAAGACAGUGCAGUUACAGUAGAUGGAUUGUGAAAAACAUGCAGUGUAAAAGGUCAGUGAAAGCUUUUCUAGAGAACCGUUUUCCUGGAUAGAGUCUCACAGUGAUGGUUCCUCUCCCUCCCCCCCCACCCAAAAAAAAAACCAACCAGAUUUUACAGAAUUACUGAAUUCUCUUUUUACUGCCAACUUGUGAAUAUUUGAUUAUUUUGGAGUUGGUUCUCUUGUACAGAAAGUACUUGUCACCCUAAUAAACAGUGUGGUUUAAGUCUUUGGUUUGCAUAUAUAUUUGUUCUGAAAAGCAUUUAAACUUUAAAGGAGGGAGGCUACCGGAGGCUCUCUCAUUUCUUUUAAGAUGACUUUGGUCAUUAGCUCAGCUGCUAUUUAAAUGUUAGCUGUCCUAAAGGAAUUUCUCUAGUCUUUGGAAACUAAAGAAUGGAACCCAAAACUAAUUUUAGUGCAUAUAAUUAGAUAAGAC